rnacentral:tRNA from 1 species
GGUAGGGUGGUCGAAGCAGGCAGCGGAUUGUAGCUCCGCGAAUAAAGGUUUAAGUCCUUUUCCUAUCA